UACGUAGGGUGCGAGCGUUGUCCGAAAUUAUUGGGCGUAAAGAGCUCGUAGGCGGUGUGUCACGUCGGCCGUGAAAACCUGGGGCUUAACUCUGGGCGUGCGGUCGAUACGGGCAUCACUAGAGUUCGGCAGGGGAGACUGGAAUUCCUGGUGUAGCGGUGAAAUGCGCAGAUAUCAGGAGGAACACCGGUGGCGAAGGCGGGUCUCUGGGCCGAUACUGACGCUGAGGAGCGAAAGCAUGGGUAGCGAACAGG
rnacentral:rRNA from 1 species